UCUGCAACCCGACUUGAGCGGAAAUCCUUUUUUGCUUUUUCUACGUUUUCUUUUGAAAACAAAUCGUCUGCAAAAAAGAUUGGGAGCGGAAGGCGGAUAAGUUG
rnacentral:sRNA from 1 species